CCUCAGGAAUCUGAAAAAGCAGGCAGACUGGAUAGAACCUAGGCCCGCUGGCUCUGCUGUGACGCAGUGGCUUCUCUCACUCGGGGACAAGCAGCUGCACUCACCAGGGCCGGGCACAGCCCUCCCCCAGCCCCACGCGUGGCCAUACCUCUAUCUUAUAAAAGAGCUCGGCAUCCAGCAGUGUCAGCUGCUCAGCUAUCUCAUGGCUGUGAAAGUCAUGCAAGGUCCCGGGCCUGGAAGACAGAGGCACGAGAUGAGUGCACGGAGGCCACGCAGCGGGUUGGGGGCGGGUCAGGACCGGACUGCACUCGUCUCCCUGGGACCACGGGGCCUACCUUCCCCCCUGCCUCCGCCUGGCUGGCUCGGUGGCUCCACUCGCGGGCCCGCGAGCUCAGCUGCCUGAGAACGCACAGCCCGACCCCCCUUCAGGGCCCAUUGGGAACAAAGAUGGUGCCAUGUGAAUGGAGCUGAGACACCAACAAAGAGGUGAUAAAUCAACAAACCUCCAUGGCCUCGGGAGAGGGCCAGUGGAACCUCUACAUAGGUGGAGCCUAUACACAGGUUCUCAGGAACGGUCAGGAUGGCACAGGGGGUGACAAGAAUUAAGUUGCCACGUUAGCGCCGGGAAGAGAAUUAAGUGCUGACCACAGCCUGAAAGGCAUUCCUGUCCCCUGUCCUGGUAAGCCCCUACACGCCCUGCUGCCCCACUUCCUACUAAAACGGUGAUCAGUCAUACAACGUAACCCUGGAGAAGAGGCCCAGCCCCAGGGGAACCACUGGGCUGUCCCUGAGGCACGUCGUCGCAGGGCCCGGGCAGAACCGGGAGGUGAGGUUGUGAGGCCGGGGGCGGGGAGGGGGGCACUGAAGGACAUAGAAUGGAGAGACGGCUGCCGGUAUGGCUCUCGCCAGAGGCAGGGCCCGGAGAAGCCCAGGAUGGACGGCGGGUGGCGCACCUGGCUGCUACGCCCCUGGCCGCCAGGGGCUGGUCGGAGUUGGCACACCUGAGCAGCUUCUUCUGGUCCACCUUGUCCAGGAUGUUCUUCCGGAGCACACGGGCCAGACUGAGCUCCCCGUUGCACACCAGGCGAAAGACCAGCUCCAUCAGCAGCUUCAAGAUCUCUUCCGUCAACUCCACUAGGCUAAAGGGCCAAGGGCCAUGCGCAAAUGGUCACUGGCACUGGAUAAGCACCAGGGACCGUGCUGCGGCCUGGGCUAUGGAGACGAAGCCUGCCCCAGGGGAGCUCCUGAUCCCACGGGGGUGAUGAAUCACGACGAGGUCUGGGCUCCACAGACAGCCCCCAGGACGCCCCUGCACAGUAUUCUCCACACGCAGUGUUUCACAGCCCCACCCCGUAAUCACUAAGGCCACCCCCCAGCAGAAGGUAAACACCUUGAGGGCGGGGCCUGGGUGGCUUCCUUACCAAGGGCUCUCUAGACCUAGGAAAGGGACCUUGUGCUUUAUGUUUGUUCAAUGACUGGAAAGGGCAAAUGCCACUCAGGGGACCGUGGAAAGAUGAGGAGGGCAGCCAAGGUCUAAGCCACGUGCCAGAGGGAUGGCCCCCACAAGGAAAUCAGGGCCGGGCCAGGGAGGGUCUGAGGGGACAAGCCAUUCUCCCCAGGGGUCGUGUUAAAGCGCGCAGGAGUGAGCCCUGUCCAGGGCCUUGGGCAGGGCUCUGUGGGCACAGAGCCCAGGAGAUGCAGGUGAAAUGUGACGGGAGGCCCAGAUCUCUGCGGGGAAGCCUGUACCCCGGCGGGGACCCCAAGAUGCCCGCGGCCUGCUGGGCCCCUCCGCCCUCCAUCCCCCGGGGCGGAAGGACUCACCAGAGCUCGUCCACCACCCGUACCAGCACGAAGAACGUGUUCUUGCUGACGCGCUUCUUGAAUGUGUCGGCAAAAGGAGAGAACUUCUCGUACGUGGGCGCAGGUUAAAGAAACAACCACCCUCACGGGUAGGGACGGGGAAGUGCGCGGGAGGGCCGCCCUCCCCCAGCCCCCCUUCCCUGAGCGAACCCUGGGAACGAGGGCACGGGGAGGGCAGGGGACCUGUGCGGGGUGGCGGAACUGCAAAGUGAGGUUCAGCCCAGACCUCUCUGACCCCGUUCUCGACCACCAACCUCUCCUGCCUGCAGAACCUCCUCCCUGCGCUCCCAGGCCUGCCUCUCUGCUGGGAUCAACCCAAGGUUCCUGUGACCGCUGAAACGCUGAAGGCUGCAUCGCUGAGCUCAGGCAGAGAAAGCUUCAGAGGCUGCCUGCGCACCUGCCCUUCAAACACCUGGCUACUUCCUCCCUGAGGCCGUGGCUGCCCUCGUGUUCAUCAAGUCUCCAGACACUUCUAUGGCUCCAUAGCGCCUGC